rnacentral:rRNA from 1 species
GAUGAACGCUGGCGGCGUGCCUAAUACAUGCAAGUCGAGCGAACAGACGAGGAGCUUGCUCCUCUGACGUUAGCGGCGGACGGGUGAGUAACACGUGGAUAACCUACCUCUAAGACUGGGAUAACUUCGGGAAACCGGAGCUAAUACCGGAUAAUAUAUCGAACCGCAUGGUUCAAUAGUGAAAGACGGUUUUGCUGUCACUUUUAGAUGGAUCCGCGCCGCAUUAGCUAGUUGGUAAGGUAACGGCUUACCAAGGCGACGAUGCGUAGCCGACCUGAGAGGGUGAUCGGCCACACUGGAACUGAGACACGGUCCAGACUCCUACGGGAGGCAGCAGUAGGGAAUCUUCCGCAAUGGGCGAAAGCCUGACGGAGCAACGCCGCGUGAGUGAUGAAGGUCUUCGGAUCGUAAAACUCUGUUAUUAGGGAAGAACAAAUGUGGAAGUAACUAUGCACGUCUUGACGGUACCUAAUCAGAAAGCCACGGCUAACUACGUG